rnacentral:lncRNA from 1 species
AGAAGAACUUGAAAAAUAUAGCCAUAAAGGGAGUUGAAAAUGGGGAGGCAGAUGGAGGUGUGAAAUUCUGUGUUUCAGUAUUGAGUUUAUAUGAUAAUGCAAUACAGAGUACAGAAGAAAGUCCUCCAAUAAGGAGAGGAAAUGGGAUCCAGAGUGCAGUGAAAUGGUUGGCCUUGGAGAAGAGGUCAUUUCAAUCCAUUUUAAUGAUAGGGAGGGGCAAGGUAAAGGAGAAGCAUUGAGUACUAUUCUGGGGUCCUUCAUACUCUCAGUAAAAAAAUAAGAAACAAUGUCAUUUGAGGAAGUGGCGUCAAAGAGGGUGGAGAAUAUUUAAACAUUUCAGGACCAAGGAGUUGGAAAAUAUAUGUCCUGGCUAAUAGGGAGAUGAACUUCAAGGAAUAUGCAGAACAGUUCCCAGGCAGUUCUGGGGGCCUACUUGAGGUCUGUGCUAUCUUACUGCAGUAUUCCUUCAUUCAGAUUGCUUCAUUUAUUGAUCUUUUUUCUAUUUUCUUUUUUCCCUCUUUUCACAUUUUUAAUCUGUGCAUUAUAGUUAUAUGAUGGAAUUUGUUGUUAGAUGUUCAUACAUGCCUACAAUAUAAAACACACACACACACAUUCAUUUUAUUCAAGAUGGUUAUUUAUCUUUUUUAUUUCUCUUUUUAUAUCUCCUUUUUAAUUUAUCUUUUCUAAUUGUGACACUACCUAAAAAGUAAUCUUGUGUCAUAGCUAUGAUAUAGAGUCCAUUUCUAAAAUGUCCAUUUCUACCUUUAAAGCAAUAUUUUACUGCUUCCACAUUAAGAAUAAAAUUGAUUUUUUUUGUUUGACAUAUACACACAGAUACAGGCACACCCACACCCACCUGUUUUUAAAAUUAAAAAUAUCCCUACAAAAAUAUCGCUCUAGUCCUGCUUUAUUGUCUCUAGAAACUACAAGAGCAUAUUGCAUAGGUAUUAGAAUUUAUUUUAUUUUUUAUUCUGGUUUGUUAUAUAUGACAACAGAAUGCAUUACAAUUCAUAUUACAUAUAUACAGCACAAUUUUUCAUAUCUCUGGUUGUAUACAAAGUAUAUUCACACCAUUCUGUCUUCAUAUGUGUACUUUGGAGAAUGAUGUCCAUCUCAUUCCACCAUCAUUUCUAACCCAUGCCUCUUCCCUUCCCCUCUUACCCCUUUGCCCUAUCUAGAGUUCAUUCCUCCCAUGCUCCCCCUCCCUACCCCACUAUGAAGCAGCCUGAUGCUGGUUGUUUUAAUGAAUCAUAAUAAUAGCCAUUAUUUAUCAUGUGGUUAGUAUAUGCCCAAUACUGUUAAAACACUUAAUGAACUAGAUUUCUUAAAGUCAUGUUUGUUGAGCUAUAAUUUGUAUUCGGUACAAUUUACCCCAUUUAGUUUUAUAGUUAUAUGAAUUUUGAUAACACAAAUACAAAAAUGACAACAUAUAUAUGGAUAUAUAGUACUACUGUCAAGAUACAGAAUGUUACUUUGUUCUCCUUUACUUCUUUUUUUAAACAAAUAGAGAAAUUAAUUUUAAUACAUUUUCAUUUAACCCAAUGGAUUAUCAAUAUUUUAAAUUCCCCUUAUAUUUCUGCACUUGUGUAUUUUUGUGCUCCCCUUUAAAAACUUGUACUAGGCAGUGAAGCUACCUAUUUAAUUUUUGUUUGUCCAAGAUUUUGUUCUUAACUAGAUACAUUAGUUCUGUUUUUUUUUUUAUUUUAUCCAUUGCUUUCUGCUUUUCUUUAUUAUUUUUGUGUUGUUUCUUUUGGAUUACUUUUGCUUUUUUUUUCCUUCUUAAAACACCUUGAUUUGAAAGCUUAACUCUUUUUUGGUUCAUAGUAAAGUUGUGAAUUUUCCUUAUGGCUUUGAGCAUUUCCCACAGUUUCUGAAGAAUUGAGAUUUUAUUAUUGUUAUUUUCUAAAUUAAUUACAAUUUUUAAUUUGAAUUUCUUUUCUUGGUAAGAUUGAUAAUUUCUGCUUUUUUUCUUCUUUUGGUAGUAGAGCACUUUGUUUUUCAUUUUUAUUAAUUACGGUAAGCUGAGGUCUCUUAAUAAUAUAUAAUUUCUUAUAUAAUAUAAGUAAUUAUAUUUCUGCCUAUUUCUCAUUGAUGUUUUUGAAGUUGUGACUUUGGAUUUGGAUCCUAUGUUAUUUGCUAUAUAAAAAUUCAUAAUCAUUAGGUCUUUUUUUUUAAAGAGAGAGAGAGGGAGAGAGAGAGAAUAUUUUAAUAUUUUAUUUUUUAGUUUUCAGCGGACACAACAUCUUUGUCGUAUGUGGUGCUGAAGAUCAAACCCGGGCCACACGCAUGCCAGGCAAGCACGCUACCACCUGAGCCAUAUCCCCAGCCCAUAAUCACUAGGUCUUUAUUGUGAACUCUAUUUAUCUUGAUAUAACAACCAUGUUCAUGUAUUUUUUUCUAUGAAAGAAUUGCCCCAGUUAUUGCAUGGC